GGAAGUGAACCAUCUCAGUACCUGAAGGAAAAGAAAACAAUAGUGAUUCCGCUAGUAGCGGCGAGCGAACGCGGAAAAGCCUAAACCGAUUGGGCUUGCUCAAUCGGGGUCGUGGGAUCAGACAUAACGGAAGAAGAAAGUGAAUAGAAAGGUUUGGAAAAGCCUACCAAAGGGCGUGAUAGUCGCGUAUAUGAAGCAUUCAACUUUCAGUUUGACACCCGAGUAAUGCGGGACACGAGAAAUCUUGCAUGAAUUUGCCGGGACCAUCCGGUAAGGCUAAAUACUCCGAAGUGACCGAUAGUGAACCAGUACCGUGAGGGAAAGGUGAAAAGAACCCCGGUGAGGGGAGUGAAAUAGUACCUGAAACCGUGUGCUUACAAGCAGUGGGAGGUCUUCGGACUGACCGCGUGCCUUUUGCAUAAUGAGCCGGCUAGUUA
rnacentral:rRNA from 1 species